rnacentral:tRNA from 1 species
GGAGGGAUGGCCGAGCGGCUUAAGGCGCAUGUCUUGAAAACAUGUUAGGGUAACACCUACGUGGGUUCGAAUCCCACUCCCUCCGCUA